CAUGAAGCUGGAAUUGCUAGUAAUGGCAGGUCAGCAUACUGCCGUGAAUACGUUCCCGGGCCUUGUACACACCGCCCGUCACACCAUGAGAGUUGGAAAUACCCGAAGCCUGUGAGCUAACUUAAAGAGGCAGCAGUCGAAGGUAGAGCCAAUGAUUGGGGUGAAGUCGUAACAAGGUAGC
rnacentral:rRNA from 1 species